rnacentral:misc_RNA from 1 species
AGCAGCCGCGGUAAUUCCAGCUCCAAUAGCGUAUAUUAAAGUUGUUGCAGUUAAAAAGCUCGUAGUUGAAUUUCGGGAUCAAUUAGUCGGUCGUGCCUCUGGUACGUACUGGUUUUAUUGGUUCCUCCCUUCUGACGAAACAUGAUGUCAUUAAUUUGGUGUCGUGGAGAAUCAGGACUGUUACCUUGAAAAAUUAGAGUGUUUAUAGCAGGCUAACGCUUGAAUACAUUAGCAUGGAAUAAUGAAAUAGGACGUUCGACCCUAUUUUGUUGGUUUCUAGGAUCGACGUAAUGAUUAAUAGGGAUAGUUGGGGGCAUUAGUAUUCAAUUGUCAGAGGUGAAAUUCUUGGAUUUUAUUGAAGACUAACUACUGCGAAAGCAUUUGCCAAGGAUGUUUUCAUUAAUCAAGAACGAAAGUUAGGGGAGUCGAAGACGAUCAGAUACCGUCGUAGUCUUAACCCAUAACGCUAAUGCCGACUAGGGAUCAGAUGAUUAGUUAAUUUUUAAUGUACUUCAAGUUC